CCUACGGGAGGCAGCAGUGGGGAAUAUUGCACAAUGGGGGAAACCCUGAUGCAGCAACGCCGCGUGAAGGAAGACGGUUUUCGGAUUGUAAACUUCUGUUCUUAGUGAAGAAUAAUGACGGUAGCUAAGGAGCAAGCCACGGCUAACUACGUGCCAGCAGCCGCGGUAAUACGUAGGUGGCAAGCGUUGUCCGGAAUUACUGGGUGUAAAGGGAGCGCAGGCGGGAAGCCAAGUCAGCUGUGAAAACUACGGGCUUAACCCUGGAACUGCGUUUGAAACUGUUCUUCUUGAGUGAUGGAGAGGCAGGCGGAAUUCCGGGUGUAGCGGUGAAAUGCGUAGAUAUACGGAGGAACACCAGUGGCGAAGGCGGCCUGCUGGACAUUAACUGACGCUGAGGCGCGAAAGCGUGGGGAGCAAACAGGAUUAGAUACCCCAGUAGUC
rnacentral:rRNA from 1 species